GAACUGCAAUGGGUUAGCUGUGGUGGAUUUUAUACAGAAGACAGUACUGUUAAGCAUGGGGACCAUUGACCUAUAUAGAUCAAGUGACCUAUACCAGCGACAACCACGGUCUCCUCGAAAAAACAAGCAGUUCAUUGCAGACAACUUUUGCAUGCGUGGCCUGUCUAACUUUUAUCCUGAUUUAACGAAACGGAUCCGUACUUCCUAUCAGAGUUUAACUGAACUGAAUGACAGUCCAGUUCCCCUAGAACUUGAGCGCUGCAAGUCUCCUACUUCAGGUAAA